UAGAGAACGGGGGUGGGGUGGGGUGGGGUGGGGUGGGGCAACAGUGCAGCUGGAGUUGCCUGCCUCUCCUGUGCUGAAGGAACACCGGAGGGAAGGGACGAAGAAAGAGGGAGGGGGAGGAUGGGAAGGAAAGGAAACCUAGCCCAGGCGUCUCUCAAGGGUGACGGUGACAAGGGCCUCUACUAAAGUAUGCCCUGUGUGCACAGCCUCACGCUGUGUCCGUGGCUCACACAGAAACACAGGGAGCCUGAAACUGGCGUGAGGAGGCUUCAAAGAGCUCCUCAACUAAGGAGGGUAACCUGCUCUCUCAGGGUGAGGGUUCCAGCGCCACCCCUGAGGGAGACUGAGAUAACUGGGCCUCUCUUGUGGGUCCCGUGCAGGGUCACACACAGCUAGGUGGGCGAGGCAAAGCGCAGGCACUCAAAGCGUUCACCAUUUGGUUCGGGGGUCUGUUGGCAAUGUGCGGUCUCAGGGUCCCCUCCCUCAUUUUAUCUGUAGUCUCUCAACCCUCUGGGCAGAUGCCCCCUGCUGCUCUCUACCUAGAUAAGGCCAAAAUAGAUGCUGGCUACCCUAUGCCCUGUGUGUGUGGUGGGGAGGGGCUUGGAUGAGACACGCCAUACCAAAGCCACCAAGGCACAAACACUUUGAAGGAGCAAUAGGAGAGACUCAGCUGAAGGUCAUGGGCUAGGGUGAGGACUGGGGGCCAGGACACUGGGGAGACAAGUUCCCGGCAGGAUAAGCACAGUACACUCAGUGGCCAUGACUUUCCCAACAAGUACCAGCCCCCGUGUUUUGCAGAAGGGUGCCCUGUUCCUAGCAGCUCUGCUCCUUGUGGUCCAAGGGAAGUCAGUGCUGGACGGGAUGCGGCAGGCAUCACCAACUCCAGGAGAUUCCUUUUAUGGGGAAAGCCUUCUGUCCUUCAAAGGAAGCCCAGUGUGAGGCCAGGCACAACCAGGUGCUUCCUGGGGGUCUCCAACGGCCCUGUGUUUGCUGCUGGCUUCGGUACCUGGAGUGCAGCCUACUCCGGCUUUCAAGGCCGCUGACUAAUGGAUGACCUGACCCCACCUGAAGUCGGAAAUAAUGUCAGCUAGAAUUAAUGGCUGUUUUAUCAGUGUUAGAGCUGUGGAAUGUGCUAGAACUCAGAUUCGUAAUGAAGUCAUCCCUGGUGGCUGAAAGUAGUUCUCUGCCUCUGGAGGCCUUGAUAGGGAGCUUGGUGUGGGGUGGCCCCUUACCCCCACACUGCUAGGUAGAUGCACUCCUAUCUGCAUCUCUGCCCAGCCAAGCAGAGCAUGCUGGGAAAAUCCCAUCAGCAGCUAACAUCUCCUCCAGGGUGACCACUGGGGUUUCCUGGGGAACCCAACUGAGGAAGUCUGACCUGUUAAAUUCUAAAUUGAAACACAAUGCAAAUUACUGAGAAGUUAAGUAGUGGUUUCCAGGAAGUAUGGUCUGACAGACAUUGUAUCCUCUUCUUCGUACCCCACGUCACUUCAGCUGGGGUCCAGCUGGGCACGCCAGGCUUGAGACGGGGAAGACCUGACUUCCAAGGAACUCUGCAUCCCAAGGGGACAAUCAAACAGGUUGCACACUGGGAGCCUCAGGGCAUCAGUGAUCGGCUGUCUCACAAACAAAGGCAUCAAUUUUAGCCAUGCUGCGCUGUUGCCUGGUCCCUGCUGUAGCUGGGCAUCACUGACAGCCAGGAAUGUGAAGGGCACCCUCAGGCAGAAGGCAUUAGGCAGAAAACACCGCGAAUGCCACAGAAAGCAAGGGGACAGAUGUCCCAGCAUCGUCAGAAGGCAGGAUCUGGGCACUUGCCACUCACUACCUUACUGAGAUGGGAGGUGAGUUUCCUGGACCUACAGAACCAAUGGCCACAAAGCCAGGUGGAGCUGGCAGGCCGGUAAUCCCAGCCCCCUCACCCACAAAGGAAAUCAGCUGUGGGACUUCAGAAGCCUCCUCAAUGCAGACUACAGAGCUCACCCCGCCUCACCCGACGCCAUCAGCAUGGUGGGGAGGGAUCCCGUCCCAAGGGAGAGAACUCUUCAGAAACUAUCACCGUGGGAGUCCUGUGCAAAUGUUCUGAGGCUGCACAACGAAGCACCUCACACUGAGGCCAUCAGCCAGGUUCACCAUCGCAUCCUGAGGAUCCUGACGCUGGAAGUCCAUGGUCAAGCUAUCACAGGGCCACAUCUCCUGAGGCAGCUCUCCCUCGCCAUGUCCUCACGGGGUCCUCCACUCUGCGCACCAUGAGAACACAGUCCUGAUGGCUCAGGUCCACCCUAAGGACUUUGAUUCACCUCAAGCACCUCUGUGAAGAUUCCAUCUCCAGACCAGGCUGCGUGCUGUGGCCCUACGUGGUCUUGAACAGACAGACUUGUGUUGUGGACGUUUUGGUUUCUUUAAAAACUCGGUUAUGUUAUGUAAACGGGUUUCUGUUUUAAUCCUAAGUGUGGGAUAUGGAGCUGCUUUUAGUUUAUCUACCACAGAUAACUGUCUCAUCAGGGCCUUGGUCUUUGCCAGCUGGUAACAGACAGCCUCGUGUGGCUCAGAGAAGGGCGUGGUCUUUACCAACUGCAGAUAGUUUAAUUCUGGGGACUUGGAGAGGGGAUAAAUGAUGGAGCCAAGAGAGACAGGGCUUCCAGGAUGAUUUGAGGAGACAGUCAGAAGAGGAAGGCUGCGGCUGCAUUUUGCUGGUUAACUGGACUACUAGAUAUCCUGAUGACUGAUAUUAGCAUUUCCCCAAAGAACCCGACAACCCCAAACAACUGCAAGUAGCUGAAGAGAACUCUGGCCCCUCUCCCCGAUAACCUUUCUCUCCUACCUAGUGUUAGGGUGUUGGGGGUAUAAGGGAUGGAGAAGGAAGGUAGAGGAAACCCUAUUAAAAUAAGAUUUAAAAAAUAGCA